CCUACGGGAGGCAGCAGUCGAGAAUCAUUCACAAUGGGGGAAACCCUGAUGGUGCGACGCCGCGUGGGGGAAUGAAGGUCUUCGGAUUGUAAACCCCUGUCAUGUGGGAGCAAAUUAAAAAGAUAGUACCACAAGAGGAAGAGACGGCUAACUCUGUGCCAGCAGCCGCGGUAAUACAGAGGUCUCAAGCGUUGUUCGGAAUCACUGGGCGGAAAGCGUGCGUAGGCUGUUUCGUAAGUCGUGUGUGAAAGGCGCGGGCUCAACCCGCGGACGGCACAUGAUACUGCGAGACUAGAGUAAUGGAGGGGGAACCGGAAUUCGCGGUGUAGCAGUGAAAUGCGUAGAUAUCGAGAGGAACACUCGUGGCGAAGGCGGGUUCCUGGACAUUAACUGACGCUGAGGCACGAAGGCCAGGGGAGCGAAAGGGAUUAGAUACCCGAGUAGUC
rnacentral:rRNA from 1 species